GUCCAGACUCCUACGGGAGGCAGCAGUGGGGAAUAUUGCACAAUGGGGGAAACCCUGAUGCAGCGACGCCGCGUGAGCGAUGAAGUAUUUCGGUAUGUAAAGCUCUAUCAGCAGGGAAGAAGAUGACGGUACCUGACUAAGAAGCCCCGGCUAACUACGUGCCAGCAGCCGCGGUAAUACGUAGGGGGCAAGCGUUAUCCGGAUUUACUGGGUGUAAAGGGAGCGUAGACGGCGGCGCAAGCCAGAUGUGAAAGCCCGGGGCUCAACUCCGGGACUGCAUUUGGAACUGUGUGGCUGGAGUGUCGGAGAGGCAGGCGGAAUUCCUAGUGUAGCGGUGAAAUGCGUAGAUAUUAGGAGGAACACCAGUGGCGAAGGCGGCCUGCUGGACGAUGACUGACGUUGAGGCUCGAAAGCGUGGGGAGCAAACAGGAUUAGAUACCCUGGUA
rnacentral:rRNA from 1 species